rnacentral:rRNA from 1 species
UGAACGCUGGCGGCGUGCCUAAUACAUGCAAGUCGAGCGAACAGACGAGGAGCUUGCUCCUCUGACGUUAGCGGCGGACGGGUGAGUAACACGUGGAUAACCUACCUAUAAGACUGGGAUAACUUCGGGAAACCGGAGCUAAUACCGGAUAAUAUAUUGAACCGCAUGGUUCAAUAGUCAAAGACGGUUUUGCUGUCACUUAUAGAUGGAUCCGCGCCGCAUUAGCUAGUUGGUAAGGUAACGGCUUACCAAGGCAACGAUGCGUAGCCGACCUGAGAGGGUGAUCGGCCACACUGGAACUGAGACACGGUCCAGACUCCUACGGGAGGCAGCAGUAGGGAAUCUUCCGCAAUGGGCGAAAGCCUGACGGAGCAACGCCGCGUGAGUGAUGAAGGUCUUCGGAUCGUAAAACUCUGUUAUUAGGGAAGAACAAAUGUGUAAGUAACUAUGCACGUCUUGACGGUACCUAAUCAGAAAGCCACGGCUAACUACGUG